rnacentral:rRNA from 1 species
GGUUAAGUCCCGCAACGAGCGCAACCUCGCCUCAGUUGCCAGCAUUCGGUUGGGCACUCUAGAGGGGGCUGCCGGCGACAAGUCGGAGGAAGGUGGGGAUGACGUCAAAUCAUCAUGCCCUUAUGACCUGGGCUACACACGUGCUACAAUGGGCGGUACAAAGGGCUGCGAACCCGCGAGGGGGAGCGAAUCCCAAAAAGCCGCUCUCAGUUCGGAUUGCAGGCUGCAACUCGCCUGCAUGAAGCCGGAAUCGCUAGUAAUCGCGGAUCAGCAUGCCGCGGUGAAUACGUUCCCGGGCCUU